AAACCACAGGCAGCGGUGGAAUCAAUAAGGCAGCUCAACCAGUGGAGGGCACCUACACAACAUCACACACAGACCAGAGCCACAGGAACUCCUGCAGGAAGUUACAGGCCUGCCUGAUCUC
rnacentral:lncRNA from 12 species